rnacentral:rRNA from 1 species
GACGAACGCUGGCGGCGUGCUUAACACAUGCAAGUCGAACGGAAAGGCCUGCUUUCCCUUGUGGAUUGCGGGUACUCGAGUGGCGAACGGGUGAGUAACACGUGAGUGAUCUGCCCCCAACUUGGGUAUAAGCCUGGGAAACUGGGUCUAAUUCCCGAUAGGACUGCAGGGUGGUGCCUGUGGUGGAAAACGAUUUUCUAGUGGUUGGGGAUGAGCUCGCGGCCUAUCAGCUUGUUGGUGGGGUAAUGGCCUACCAAGGCGGCGACGGGUAGCCGACCUGAGAGGGUGGACGGCCACAUUGGGACUGGGAUACGGCCCAGACUCCUACGGGAGGCAGCAGUGGGGAAUAUUGCACAAUGGGCGGAAGCCUGAUGCAGCGACGCCGCGUGGGGGAUGACGGCCUUCGGGUUGUAAACUCCUUUCGACCGCGAGGAAGCCACCUGGUUGGAAGGGUGGUGACGGUAGUGGUAGAAGAAGCACCGGCUAACUACGUG